rnacentral:tRNA from 1 species
GGGGAGAUUGCUCAGCAGUUAAGAGCAUUAGCCACUCUUCCAGAGGACCUGGGUUCAAUUCCCAGCACCCCCA